GGGAUGUAAAAGACAAAGUCCUACUCUCAUCGAGCUUAUGUUAAAGUGGGGAAACGGACAAGCAAAUAGUUGCAGGUCCUUCUAGUUGUGGGAUGUGGGACGCCGCCUCAACGUGGCCUGACGAGCGGUGCCAUGUCUGCACCCAGGAUCCGAACCCUGGGACGCCGCAGCGGAGCGCGCGAACUUAAGCACUCGGCCAUGGGGCCGGCACCUCAGCUUGUAUGCUUUGACGAAGCAAGCCAUCAUGUUCAUGAGACUCACAUGGCAAGGAACUGAGGGUGGACUCUGACCAACAGCCAACAAAGAACUGAAGUCCAACAGCCUACAAGGAACUGAAUCCUGCCAAUAGCUACAUGAGCCCAAAUGUAUUUUCUUCCCCAUUUGAGCCUUCAAGUGAGUACAGCCUAACCAACACCUUGAUUGCAGCCUGUGAGAGACCUUGGAACAGAGAAAGGACUCAGGUAAGCCAUGCCCAGAUUUCUGACCCAC
rnacentral:lncRNA from 1 species